rnacentral:lncRNA from 1 species
UUCAAAGCUUUCAAGCUUUUUCAUGGCUAUCAAUGGUGGAAAAUAUAUGGAAAAGGAGAGAAUUACGCUGCAAUGGAUUUUCUUCCGUUUUAAAUUUCGAAGUUAAUGGUGAUAGAAUCACCAUUAAAUCCGAUUCCUACAAAUUUGGCGCCUUUUUAGGGUAGAAUCUAUCUAUUUUUGGUUUGGUACAAAUUUUGUAGCAAAACUAUAGACUAGACGGG